rnacentral:ncRNA from 1 species
AACUUUAAGGGUUAAAAGGGAAUCCGGUGGGAAUCCGGAACAAUACCUGUUGCUGUUAAUCCCUCCCUGCGGGGAAAUUUAUUGUACUCUUUGCCACUGGUUACUACUGGGAAGGCGCAAUAAAGGGAUAAGUCAGAAGACCUACCUCUGCAUAUU